UACGAAGGGGGCUAGCGUUGUCCGGAUUUAUUGGGCGUAAAGAGCGUGUAGGCGGUCAGGUAGGUCUGGUGUGAAAACUCGAGGCUUAACCUCGAGAUGUCAUCGGAAACCAUCUGGCUAGAGUCCGGAAGAGGAGAGUGGAAUUCCUGGUGUAGCGGUGAAACGCGCAGAUAUCAGGAAGAACACCAAUGGCGAAAGCAGCUCUCUGGGACGGUACUGACGCUGAGACGCGAAAGCGUGGGGAGCGAACAGG
rnacentral:rRNA from 1 species